AAGUUUGAUUCUGGCUCAGAACGAACGCUGGCAGCGUGGAUUAGGCAUGCAAGUCGAACGUGAAGCCGUUGAACAAUCUUUCGGGAGAGUGAUUCGGUGGAAAGUGGCGGAAGGGUGAGUAACGCGUGGGUGAGCUGUCUCGAAGUUGGGGACAACCAGAUGAAAAUCUGGCUAAUACCGAAUGUGGUCUUCUGGCGCAUGUCAGGAUGACUAAAGGUGGGGAUUCUUCGGAACCUGCCGCUUUGAGAGGUGCCCGCGUGCCAUCAGCUUGUUGGUAGGGUAAUGGCCUACCAAGGCUUACGGCUAGCCGGCCUGAGAGGGUGAUCGGCCACACUGGGACUGAGACACUGCCCAGACUCCUACGGGAGGCUGCAGUCGAGGAUCAUUCGCAACGCGCGAAAGCGUGACGAUGCGACGCUGCGUGGGGGAUGAAGGCCUUCGGGUCGUAAACUCCUGUCAUGAGGGAACAGUAUCCCUGUAAUUAAUAGUUGCGGGGCUCGAUGGUACCUCAAGAGGAAGCCACGGCUAACUCUGUGCCAGCAGCCGCGGUAAUACAGAGGUGGCGAGCGUUGUUCGGAUUUACUGAGCGUAAAGGGUGCGUAGGUGGUUUUGUGUGUCGGAUGUGAAAUCCCAUGGCUCAACUGUGGAAUUGCAUUCGAAACUGCGGAACUAGAGUGCAGGAUGGGAGAGCGGAAUUCUUGGUGUAGCGGUGAAAUGCGUUGAUAUCAAGAAGAACACCGGUGGCGAAGGCGGCUCUCUGGAAUGCUACUGACACUGAGGCACGAAAGCUGGGGGAGCGAACAGGAUUAGAUACCCUGGUAGUCCCAGCCGUAAACGGUGCACACUUGGUGUGGGGAGAUUUAACCCUCUCCGUGCCGGAGUUAACGCGUUAAGUGUGCCGCCUGGGGAGUACGGCCGCAAGGCUAAAACUCAAAGAAAUUGACGGGGGCCCGCACAAGCGGAGGAGCAUGUGGCUUAAUUCGAUGCAACGCGAAGAACCUUACCAGGGCUUGACAUGGGGACCCUUCGGGGGUGGUAGCGAAAGUUACCUUUACCAUCACAGGUGCUGCAUGGCUGUCGUCAGUUCGUGCCGUGAGGUGUUGGGUUAAGUCCCGUAACGAACGCAACCCUUGUGGCUAGUUGCCACCGGUGGUGAUGAGCCGCCGAGCACUCUAGCCAGACUGCCCGUACAAGCGGGAGGAAGGUGGGGAUGACGUCAAGUCAGUAUGGCCCUUACGUCCUGGGCUGCACACGUGCUACAAUGGUCGGUACAGUGGGAUGCAAUACCGCGAGGUGGAGCAAAUCCCCAAAGCCGCCCUCAGUUCGGAUUGAAGUCUGCAACUCGACUUCAUGAAGUUGGAUUCGCUAGUAACGGCGCAUCAGCUACGGCGCCGUGAAUACGUUCCCGGGCCUUGUACACACCGCCCGUCACAUCAUGAAAGCCGUCUGCACCCGAAGUCGCUGAGCCAACCAUUUAUGGAGGCAGGUGCCGAAGGUGUGGGUGGUGAUUGGGAUGAAGUCGAAACAAGGUA
rnacentral:rRNA from 1 species